rnacentral:rRNA from 1 species
UACGAAGGGGGCUAGCGUUGCUCGGAAUGACUGGGCGUAAAGGGUGCGUAGGCGGCGUGGCAAGUCUGAUGUGAAAUCCCGGGGCUCAACCCCGGAACUGCAUUGGAUACUGCCAUGCUAGAGUACUGGAGAGGAGAUUGGAAUUUACGGUGUAGCAGUGAAAUGCGUAGAUAUCGUAAGGAAGACCAGUGGCGAAGGCGAAUCUCUGGACAGUUACUGACGCUGAGGCACGAAGGCCAGGGGAGCAAACGGG